UACGGGGGGGGCAAGCGUUGUUCGGAAUUACUGGGCGUAAAGGGCUCGCAGGUGGCCAACUAAGUCAGACGUGAAAUCCCUCGGCUUAACCGGGGAACUGCGUCUGAUACUGGAUGGCUUGAGUUUGGGAGAGGGACGCGGAAUUCCAGGUGUAGCGGUGAAAUGCGUAGAUAUCUGGAGGAACACCGGUGGCGAAGGCGGCGUCCUGGACCAACACUGACACUGAUGAGCGAAAGCCAGGGGAGCAAACGGG
rnacentral:rRNA from 1 species